rnacentral:rRNA from 1 species
CGAGUACAGUGGCGAACGGGUGAGUAACACGUGACUAACCUACCUUCCAGUGGGGGAUAACCUCGGGAAACCGGGGCUAAGACCGCAUAAUCUCGCGAGGUGAGAAUCCUUGUGAGCAAAGGGGUAAGACGCUGGUAGAGGGGGUCGCGGCUGAUUAGCUAGUUGGCGGGGUAACGGCCCACCAAGGCGAUGAUCGGUAGCCGGCCUGAGAGGGCGCACGGCCACACUGGAACUGAAACACGGUCCAGACUCCUACGGGAGGCAGCAGUGAGGAAUAUUGGACAAUGGUCGAGAGACUGAUCCAGCCAUGCCGCGUGCAGGAAGACUGCCCUAUGGGUUGUAAACUGCUUUUUUACGGGAAGAAUAAUACCCACGUGUGGGUAGAUGACGGUACCGUAUGAAUAAGGACCGGCUAACUCCGUGCCAGCAGCCGCGGUAAUACGGAGGGUCCGAGCGUUAUCCGGAAUUAUUGGGUUUAAAGGGUCCGCAGGCGGGCCAGUAAGUCAGGGGUGAAAGUUUGCGGCUUAACCGUAAAAUUGCCUUUGAUACUGCUGGUCUUGAGUUGCGGUGAAGUGGCCGGAAUAUGUGGUGUAGCGGUGAAAUGCAUAGAUAUCACAUAGAACACCGAUUGCGAAGGCAGGUCACUAACCGCCGACUGACGCUGAUGGACGAAAGCGUGGGGAGCGAACGGGAUUAGAUACCCCGGUAGUCCACGCCGUAAACGAUGGACACUAGCUGUCGGGCCUUUAUUGGUUCGGCGGCCCAGCGAAAGUGAUAAGUGUCCCACCUGGGGAGUACGUCGGCAACGAUGAAACUCAAAGGAAUUGACGGGGGCCCGCACAAGCGGUGGAGCAUGUGGUUUAAUUCGAUGAUAC